GGGAUGGCUUGGUAGAAAAUGUCGAAUUCUUGCAAAGUAAUUUCUCACGUCUUCUGAUGUUUUUUUAUUGAGCGCUUUGAUCUUUGUUCUGCAGAUGUGGAAAUAACAUCAUCUACAACCUGUAGGCGUUCUCUGCACUUUCUCAACUAAUUGUUCCGUGCAUCUGACAACAAGAUGCAAAUUUACCCACAUCUGUCUACAAAGAGGCUUUCCUCCUGCCUGGCCUUUUUUGUAGAGAGUCAAACAACGUUAUUUUUACCCACUUCUAAAAAUUGAUUCUGAGCGUAUCUUUUGACAUGCCUGCUUGCCUUCCCCACUCCCAGAUGUCACCAGCUCCCUGCCUGCGUUACAACAUCCAUCUUGGCUGGCACGUGGGACCGAGCUGGGAAGGACGAGAACAGCUUGAGACAGAAAACAGUGUUCUGUAGCUCAAUGUCCCCGUCUGUGCUGAGGACCGGGAGUGUCACGUACUGAUUAUCCACUUCUUCUUACACAGUGAUUUACAUGCUGAUGGGUGCAGCCUUGUAAUUACCCAGGCACGUUCGCCCUAUGUCCCAAACCAGACAGCCCAGGCAGGCAUUAGCAGGGGAACAGCUGCAGUGGCCUGGAAGCGGGGGAAAUACGGAGGUGUUCAACCCGAGGGGCUGUCACUCAGCGUGACUCUGAUCCUGACGAUGGUACUGCUUGCUUCUGUGCACACAGUUUGGAGCAGGGUGAUUCCUCAUCUGGCAUUCAUGUAGACAAUAGCACAACACGGUGCUGGGGAGUUUGGUUGUGUCUGUUCCUUUAACAACAGGACAUAUGAACUCCUGAUGUGACACUGAAGGGAAAUAUCCCAGAAUAUAGGAAAUUUUCAAAGUUGCAUACACUUCACACAUGUGUAGCAUUUGCUGUUGGUACAAUCUUUGUUAAAUAUAAAUCCUAAAACUGCUGAGUUUGGAUGUUUACUACUGGUCAUUGCUGCCCAUAGCCUGCCUCCUGCAAAAGAUUGACAGUCCUUUCCUGAUGACUUGACGGUAUGGCCAGACUGGUGAUACUGGUGGAAACCUGGCCCUCGUGAAAUAAAUGGCCCAAAUCACUCUGGCUUUGUUUAGAA
rnacentral:lncRNA from 1 species